UUACCAUCACUAAGGUUGGGUACUCAUGGGAGACUGCCAGGGACCACCUGGAGGAAGGCGGGAUGACGUCAAGUCAUCAUGCCCCUUAUGUCCUGGGCUACACACGUACUACAAUGGCCGGCAACAGAGGGAAGCGAAGCCGCGAGGCGGAGCGAACCCCAUAAACCCGGUCCCAGUUCGGAUCGCAGGCUGCAACCCGCCUGCGUGAAGUCGGAAUCGCUAGUAAUCGCAGGUCAGCAUACUGCGGUGAAUACGUUCCCGGGCCUUGUACACACCGCCCGUCACACCACGAAAGUUGGUAACACCCGAAGCCGGUGGGGUAACCGUAAGGAGCCAGCCGUCUAAGGUGGGGCCGAUGAUUGGGGUG
rnacentral:rRNA from 1 species